rnacentral:rRNA from 1 species
GAUGAACGCUGGCGGCGUGCCUAAUACAUGCAAGUCGAGCGAACGGACGAGAAGCUUGCUUCUCUGAUGUUAGCGGCGGACGGGUGAGUAACACGUGGAUAACCUACCUAUAAGACUGGGAUAACUUCGGGAAACCGGAGCUAAUACCGGAUAAUAUUUUGAACCGCAUGGUUCAAAAGUGAAAGACGGUCUUGCUGUCACUUAUAGAUGGAUCCGCGCUGCAUUAGCUAGUUGGUAAGGUAACGGCUUACCAAGGCAACGAUGCAUAGCCGACCUGAGAGGGUGAUCGGCCACACUGGAACUGAGACACGGUCCCGACUCCUACGGGAGGCAGCAGUAGGGAAUCUUCCGCAAUGGGCGAAAGCCUGGCGGAGCAACGCCGCGUGAGUGAUGAAGGUCUUCGGAUCGUAAAACUCUGUUAUUAGGGAAGAACAUAUGUGUAAGUAACUGUGCACAUCUUGACGGUACCUAAUCAGAAAGCCACGGCUAACUACGUG